CAGAGUCAGAGACAAGUUGAGACUGUCUCUUUAAAGCGCUGAGGACAGUCAUGAGUGAAGGAGGGGCGUUGGCGCCUGAUUUUGGGAACGAGCUGUUUUCAUCGUCCGUCCUCAGGCUGGUACUCAACAACUGGGACUAAGAGUAUCGGGGAAUUCAGCAUUACUCUCGGACUCUGUUUGAAGACAACUCCUCGAAUCCGUCAUGCUGCUGUUGCUAACCUCGAUCUUCCUCCUGCAUCUGACUGCCAUCAUCCUCCUCAUCAUCUCCACAGCCCACAAUGUUUGGUGGAGCAGCAAGGGUUAUUGCACGGACAUCUGGAAGCAGUGUUUCUACACAAACAACAGCUGUGUAGAUGUCCACUAUCAAGGCAAGGAAGGUAAGUCAUAGAGAGAGGCUCU